UUAAGUUUAGUUAUAUGUCUUCUCAUCGUGUUACUCCAUCUACAUUAUUAUUGUAUGUGCCCAAUGAAAAUAUAUAUCAAUUAAUUUUACAAUAAUUUUUUUAUGUGAUGAAAUGAAAUUUUGCUUAUAUAUACAUCCCAAAUCUCUAGUUGUUAAAUACACAAAACGCAUCGAGAUUAGUAGAUAGAUUAGCAUUGUUAUAUUGAUGAGAACAGGCCACCAAUUGUUUGAUUAUAAAUAAUGGCAAAAUUAAGCAUGGCAAAGUUUUUUUCACUUUUUCUUUUGGUUUCAGUGAUGAGAAGUGAAGUGGGUGCGGAUCAAAGACUCUUUGAAUGUCGGCGUGAGUUUUGGAACAUGGAUAACUGCGUACGUGAAUUUUGCGAGGAGGUUUGUGUGAAGAACAAAGGGGAUUCUGAAAAUGCAGCAGAUGUAUGGUCAGAGUGCCAGGGAUCUCGCAGAUGUUUUUGCCAAUAUUGGUGCUUUGUAACCGGGGAGAAAAUAUAGUAAUAAUGACCAUAAUAAUAAGGUAACAACUUGUCUGCUGUUAUUUUUGUACAAGUUAUAGGUGAAAAUUGUUGAUAAUUUAAUUAAGAGGAAUGUUAGGGAGCAGUAAUUUUGGUGUUUUGUAAUUAUCAAUUGGUCAUUAAUAGUGUUUUUAAUGGUGUGAAAUUA